rnacentral:rRNA from 1 species
UACAGAGGGGGCAAGCGUUGUUCGGAAUUACUGGGCGUAAAGGGCGCGUAGGCGGCCUUCUAAGUCAUGCGUGAAAUCCCUGGGCUCAACCCAGGAACUGCGUCCAAGACUGGGAGGCUUGAAUCCGGGAGAGGGAUGCGGAAUUCCAGGUGUAGCGGUGAAAUGCGUAGAUAUCUGGAGGAACACCGGUGGCGAAGGCGGCAUCCUGGACCGGUAUUGACACUGAGGCGCGAAAGCCAGGGGAGCAAACGGG